GGCAGCCUGAAGCCUGUGGGGUCUGUGCAGUGACUGGCCAUCACCUCCAGAGCUUCACCUCCAGAGCCAACAAAGAUGGGACCUGGGCUCCACCUCCUUGUCCUGGCAGCAGUGCUGGAAGGUGCCUGGUCCCAGGUGCAGCUGGUAGAGUCGGGAGGAGAUGUGAGAAAACCUGGAGACUCUCUGCGCCUCUCCUGCAAAGCCUCUGGGUUCACCUUCAGUAACUACUACAUGGGAUGGGUCCGCCAGGCUCCUGGGAAGGGGCUGGAGUGGGUUGCUUAUAUUAGCACAUCCUCCUCUCCCAUAUACUACGCUGACAGUGUUAAGGGGCGAUUCACCAUCUCCAGAGAUGACUCCAGCAGCCUCCUGCACCUCCAGAUGAACAGCCUGAGAGCAGAGGACACGGCCCGGUAUUACUGUGCUAGAGACACAGUGAAGCAAAUCCUAUUAGAGCUAAUGCAAAAAACCCUGAGCACAAACUCCACUUGUGCCCUGUCCCACAGGAGGCUGCAGGGACCAGAGCAGCACAAGGCCAGGCCCAGUGCUGGACGGAUCCGACCUGUUGGUGUCAAGAGUUAA